GACGAACGCUGGCGGCGUGCUUAACACGAGCAAGUCGAACGAUGAAGCUGGAGCUUGCUCCGGUGGAUUAGUGGCGAACGGGUGAGUAACACGUGAGAAAUCUGCCCUUCACUCUGGGAUAACUGCGGGAAACUGUAGCUAAUACCGGAUACUUUCCCUGGUGGGCAUCCACUAGGGAAGAAAGAAUUUCGGUGAAGGAUGAUCUCGCGGCCUAUCAGCUAGUUGGUGAGGUAAUGGCUCACCAAGGCGACGACGGGUAGCCGGCCUGAGAGGGUUACCGGCCACACUGGGACUGAGACACGGCCCAGACUCCUACGGGAGGCAGCAGUGGGGAAUAUUGCACAAUGGGCGAAAGCCUGAUGCAGCAACGCCGCGUGAGGGAUGAAGGCCUUCGGGUUGUAAACCUCUUUUAGCAGGGAAGAAGCGAAAGUGACGGUACCUGCAGAAAAAGCACCGGCUAACUACGUGCCAGCCGCCGCCGCAG
rnacentral:rRNA from 1 species